rnacentral:rRNA from 1 species
AAAGUUGCAAAGCACUUUGAAGAGAGAUGCUCUGAAAAAAGCGACGUGAAACCGAUGAGGUGGAAACGGACAGCAGCUGGCGUAUCGGGCCCGUAUUCAAUUGCGCGCCGUUGGGCUUUUUUGUUUACCGCGCUCCAGAAUUGGGUCGGUGACUUGAUUGCUUGGCGGUUUGUGAUGCAUUUGCGGGUAGAGUGCACCGAGGAGUUCGGAGCAGUGGUGUGAACUCGACUUUGAGGCCACUUCUUUAAUGGCGUGGUACCCGGGUCGGGGGAGUGCUAUUUGUUCUGGGCAUAUGUGUGGUGACGUUGGUAUCGGGCCCGCGUGGGCGCCGAGCUGGCUGUGGGUGGCGGUCGCAUGCGACACGUGCCAGCAAUCAGUUCGGUCCUAUUCGGGCUCACAUAGCGUUCAGCCUCGGUGUAAAAGCUGGUCAUCUGUCCGACCCGUCUUGAAACACGGACCAAGGAGUUUAGCGUGGACGCAAGUCAUUGGGCGUUGAAAACCCAAAGGCGCAAUGAAAGUGAAGGCAUCCCUUGUGGAGCUGAUGUGCGAUCCUGGUGACUGCGGUUGCCGGGCGCAGCAUAGUCCCGUCCUGAUCGCAUGCGAUGGGGCGGAGACAGAGCGUGUGCGCUGAGACCCGAAAGAUGGUGAACUAUUCCUGAGCAGGACGAAGCCAGAGGAAACUCUGGUGGAAGUCCGAAUGCGAUUCUGACGUGCAAAUCGAUCGUCUGACUUGGGUAUUAGGGGCGAAAGACUAAUCGAACCAUCUAGUAGCUGGUUCCCU